GACGAACGCUGGCGGCGUGCUUAACACAUGCAAGUCGAACGGAAAGGCCCCUUUGGGGGUAAUCGAGUGGCGAACGGGUGAGUAACACGUGAGUAACCUGCCCUUGACUUCGGGAUAACUUCAGGAAACUGGGGCUAAUACCGGAUAGGAAUCCUUGCUGCAUGGUGGGGGUUGGAAAGCUUCGGCGGUUUUGGAUGGACUCGCGGCUUAUCAGCUUGUUGGUGGGGUAGUGGCUUACCAAGGCUUUGACGGGUAGCCGGCCUGAGAGGGCGACCGGCCACAUUGGGACUGAGAUACGGCCCAGACGCCUACGGGAGGCAGCAGUGGGGAAUAUUGCACAAUGGGCGGAAGCCUGAUGCAGCAACGCCGCGUGCGGGAUGACGGCCUUCGGGUUGUAAACCGCUUUCAGCAGGGGCGAAGCUUUUGUGACGGUACCUGCAGAAGAAGCACCGGCUAACUACGUG
rnacentral:rRNA from 1 species